rnacentral:sRNA from 1 species
AACCUUAACAUUUCGUGUCACAACAUACAAACCACUCCACAAUAGAGUGACUUCUGCUUUCGAAAGUGUAAAUUUUUCAAGUUUAGAUUCCAUUAAACAAUCAUUGGACUACAUAACCAGGGCAGACACAAUUAAAAUCACAGGAUCAUACAAAUACGAACCAACAAAAUUGUAGUUUUCAAAAGCAGAAAAGUUUCUCCGACUCCAAAACGCAGCGAGGCAGAACUUUGAUUGUACCAAGAGCAUAAAAAUUUAAAAAAAAUACCAACAGAUUAAACGAACUUGCAAAACAUGGGCUCCAGAAGAAGAUGAACAAUUCCUAGAAAUGUUGAAAAACACUACAUCCACGAAAUCAAUAUUACCCGACUCGUUACUCUACAUACGCGAACCCCAUUUGAAUGGAUAGACAUUCUAACCUAUAUAGCAACCAGAAAGCCAGACUCAGCAAAAUGCAUUGACAACAUCUCGAAUCGAAUGAUACAAACACUUUUCUCAACAAAUAAAGCGGAUCAAUUUAAUCUACUUAAUACGAUAUGGAUAUCAGGUCAAAUCCCUGAAAACGAGUUUUAAUUAAGGGAAACUGCAAACAGAACUAAACAAAAAACUAAACAUAGCGACAGAAAUGCCACCGGAAUACAGAAUUCGUUUCCAAACGGCGAAGGAACUUACUUUAAUGAGUUGUUUAAUAUUUUGCCCACGCAUAACCAGCCAAAGAAAUAUUAUUAGACAAUUACGAUCUCAACGCUCGUACAACUAAAACAAAUCAAAGGCUAUGAUCCGGAAUCAAUCCGUAGUAGCAAAAUUAAGGUAGACAUAGACUUCUUUAAAGAAACUGCCAAAAAUAAAAAUGCUAUAGACCAAAAAUGCAUUCUAAAAAUCAGUAAGGAUAAAGUGUCCAAUCUGGGAAACGGGGGGUUCGAGAUAGUCUUCACGAUGGCUCAGUUUCCGAACAUCAAUCCAGUGUAGCCUUCCUUCUAGCUCAAAACAUAUAGAAAGCUUCUAUGCAAAAAAUCACUGUCCUCUCAACUGGCGAACUGCUAGUGAUAGUCAAAGCUCUGGACUAUGUUAGGCAUUUCCCGAAUGGCCAUCUUAACAGACAGAAGGAACAGGGUCAUUGCAAAACAAAACUUUGCACGAUAAUUAUAUAACCUGUAACAUUAAAAAGAAAAUAGUUAACAAUCCCCGCAUGACACACAUUGAAAUCCGUCACAUACCUAGUCACUCCGGCAUUCCGGAAAAUGAUCUCGUGGACCUGGCCGCCAAAAAUGCAUCGACGCAAGGAAUUUUCAACGUAGUAAGUUGGAGCAUUAAAGAUGACACGGCUGAAAUUCACAGAAUCAUUCAAAAGCACUGGGAAGAGGAACACGCAGAAUUUGCAAACAAGCAGCGGCACAUUAAAAACCCAUGGUUUAAAAAUCCCAAUUGUAAACGUAAAUCUACAGAUACCAAAAUAAUUAACAGACUUCUCAGCGAUAA